UGCCCCAUGGCUGAGUUGGUUACAGCGUCCGACUGUUAAGUUCAAGCGUUUAACUUGUAUCUGAUCAUCGGAAGGUCGUGAGUUCGAGCCUCACUGGGGCAG